rnacentral:rRNA from 1 species
UACGAAGGGGGCUAGCGUUGUUCGGAAUUACUGGGCGUAAAGCGCGCGCAGGCGGCUAUCCAAGUCAGUGGUGAAAGCCCGGAGCUCAACUCCGGAACUGCCAUUGAAACUGUUUAGCUUGAGGACGAGAGGGGUGAGUGGAAUUCCCAGUGUAGAGGUGAAAUUCGUAGAUAUUGGGAAGAACACCGGUGGCGAAGGCGGCUCACUGGCUCGUUUCUGACGCUCAGGCGCGACAGCGUGGGGAUCAAACAGG